rnacentral:rRNA from 1 species
AGUGAACGCUGGCGGUAGGCCUAACACAUGCAAGUCGAACGGCAGCACAGUAAGAGCUUGCUCUUACGGGUGGCGAGUGGCGGACGGGUGAGGAAUACAUCGGAAUCUACUUUUUCGUGGGGGAUAACGUAGGGAAACUUACGCUAAUACCGCAUACGACCUACGGGUGAAAGCAGGGGAUCUUCGGACCUUGCGCGAUUGAAUGAGCCGAUGUCGGAUUAGCUAGUUGGCGGGGUAAAGGCCCGCCAAGGCGACGAUCCGUAGCUGGUCUGAGAGGAUGAUCAGCCACACUGGAACUGAGACACGGUCCAGACUCCUACGGGAGGCAGCAGUGGGGAAUAUUGGACAAUGGGCGCAAGCCUGAUCCAGCCAUACCGCGUGGGUGAAGAAGGCCUUCGGGUUGUAAAGCCCUUUUGUUGGGAAAGAAAAGCAGCAGGUUAAUACCCCGCUGUUCCGACGGUACCCAAAGAAUAAGCACCGGCUAACCUCGUG